GCUGUAUAUGAUGUGGGCUGCCAUCCUCAACAGCAGGGUAAUAAGUGCUGGGAAAGAUCUCACCAUGGCAGAGCGAACCCCCUGAAGUUUGGCACAGCCCAUCUCCCCCAGAUUUCCUGCCAGCGCAGCCGCGUCUGUCCUUGUUGCAGUGCUGGCUGCGUGUCUGAGCGUGCUGGGGCAGGGGGAUUUCAUUGGUGCAGCCCCUCUCUGCUUGCAGCCAUGUCUUGUCCUUUGUCCCUUGAGGCUGCAGCAGGACUUGUCCUGACGGAGCUGCCGCAGCGGUGCUGCUCCUUGCAGGUGGUCAGUUCACUGGGUCUGGACUCCCUGUCUCCGUUUCACCCGCGGGAGCGCAUCCUUGAGUAGGGGCCCCCAUCCCAUCCUACUUCGUAUCACGGGGCCCAUCCCUGCCUGGAUGGGGGGAUCCUGCUGCCUGCAUCUUUCACUUGGCUUGUUUUGGGAGCAGUGGCUGCUUCCGGCCACUUGUGGAACAGCAGGUCACCUGAGCAGGCAGUGGGAGCAGGUUUGGUGGCCAAAUUGGAACGUUAAAUUCCCUUCCCCAUCCCCAUGCCAACUUUCCCUGCCUCUGGCUCACCCGCUGGCCUCUAAGGAGAGAUGCUGUGCGGCAGCAGCCAGCGGGAGAGGUGAGCUGGGCUGGUGGGCACUGUCAGACUGGGGGAGCACAGGCACCCAGCACUGAGCCAGGGCUGUCCCCCCUCCCAGGCGCAUGGCUGCCAUGCAGCAGGGACUGAAGACGGCCGUGAGGGUGCCCUGUGCCCUGGCAGAGAAGGUGAGUGGGCUCUGGCCUGCUCUGAAGGAACUGACACAACACUGCAACCUGGCCUGCAAAUCCGACAUCCAGCUCCUUGUAGGAGAGUUGACCUCCACCAGCCCUUGCUUGAGUUUCCUGUUGUGUGUGGCAAUGCUUCCCACUGUUUGAGCUACAUCCUGAGAAUCCCACCAGAUUGGAAAGUGUUCUGUGCCGCUGGCUGUUGGAGGGUGGGUGUGGGGUUCAUGUAGGGGUCGCCUGACUCACUCCAUCAGCUGAUGUCAGGAGCUGUAACCACCACCCUCCAUCGUCUGUUUUUAUUAGCCCUGUGGGACCUUUGUGCUGGCUGGGAGUGGUGUGUUGACUUUUCUUGGGUGCCAUGGUUACAGUCCUGGUGCAGGGUGGUGCCAGUUUGACUGCUCAGCAGUGUCACCUCUGCCCGCCACACCCCUCCUCACCGGGGGGGGAUCUGGUAUUUAACAGGUGCCCGACAGCCCAGUUAGAGCCGUGCCAAGGACGGUGAUCAAGAGUGCUGCCAGCAUCGCCUCCUCUGGGACCUUUUGGGCAGGUUUGCUCACAGACCACUGAAGAUGUGUGACCCCAACCAAGGCAUGCCAGGACCACACCAUCCAGUUUGCCCUCCUGGUCCUCCAGGAUACCCUGGUCCUGGCACGGGUCCCUACCCUGGUGGCAUUGCAGUUUGCCCUCCUGCUCCUCCAGGAUACCCUGGUCCCGGCACAGCUCCCUGCCCUGGUGGCCCUGCAGUCUGCCCCUCGUUCCCCCCUCCACCUGGCCAUGGGCAGCACCCCCAUGGGCACCACCCCCAAGGGCACCACCCCCAUGGGCACCCCUCAUGUGGCCAUAAUCCCCAUGGACACCCCCCUCCAGGACCACCAGGAGUGCAGGUGUGUCCCCCUGACUGCCAUCAGAAGCACCAUAAGAAGCACCAUAAGAAGCACCAUAAGAAGAAGCACUCCAAGCACCACGGAGGCAAGCACUCCAGCGGCUCAAGCAGCAGCUCAAGCAGCAGCUCUGACUCUGACUGAACAUUUGGCAUUUCCCACCUGCACAGUACUGAUCAGCAAAACAUGAAGCCAAACACCUUGUGGGAGUGCCGUGCCCUGCCCUGCGUGCUUCUCUGUUCCCCUUCCCCUUCCCUUACAGCAGUGUUUUGCCUGCUGAGUGAUUUUCUUGUGUUUACAUUGUAAAUGAUUUGUCCUGGAAUCUCUUAAGUCAUUGGACAGCAUCUCCAUGGUCUGUCUUUUGGGAGAGCCUGCUGAAAGUCAUCAUGUGCUUGUCUGCAA